GAUGAACGCUGGCGGCGUGCUUAACACAUGCAAGUCGAACGAUGAACCUCACUUGUGGGGGGAUUAGUGGCGAACGGGUGAGUAACACGUGAGUAACCUGCCCUUGACUCUGGGAUAAGCCUGGUAAACCGGGUCUAAUACUGGAUACGACCUUCUGGCGCAUGCCAUGUUGGUGGAAAGCUUUUGUGGUUUUGGAUGGACUCGCGGCCUAUCAGCUUGUUGGUGGGGUAAUGGCCUACCAAGGCGACGACGGGUAGCCGGCCUGAGGGGGUGACCGGCCACACGGGGACUGAGACACGGCGCAGACUCCUACGGGAGGCAGCAGUGGGGAAUAUUGCACAAUGGGGGCAAGCCUGAUGCAGCGACGCCGCGUGAGGGAUGAAGGCCUUCGGGUUGUAAACCUCUUUCAGUAGGGAAGAAGCCGGCUUUUGGGUUGGUGACGGUACCUGGAGAAGAAGCGCCGGCUAACUACGUG
rnacentral:rRNA from 1 species